UACGUAGGGUGCAAGCGUUGUCCGGAAUUAUUGGGCGUAAAGAGCUCGUAGGCGGUCUGUCGCGUCGGCUGUGAAAACCCGGGGCUCAACCCCGGGCCUGCAGUCGAUACGGGCAGACUAGAGUGCGGUAGGGGAGACUGGAAUUCCUGGUGUAGCGGUGAAAUGCGCAGAUAUCAGGAGGAACACCGAUGGCGAAGGCAGUGGGCUGGGCCGGCACUGACGCUGAGGAGCGAAAGCGUGGGGAGCGAACAGG
rnacentral:rRNA from 1 species